rnacentral:rRNA from 1 species
AACUUCUGAAUGUUGACCUCGGAUCAGGUAGGAAUACCCGCUGAACUUAAGCAUAUCAAUAAGCGGAGGAAAAGAAACCAACAGGGAUUGCCCUAGUAACGGCGAGUGAAGCGGCAACAGCUCAAAUUUGAAAUCUGGCUCUCGGGCCCGAGUUGUAAUUUGUAGAGGAUGCUUUUGAUGCGGUGCCUUCCGAGUUCCCUGGAACGGGACGCCAUAGAGGGUGAGAGCCCCGUCUGGUUGGAUGCCAAAUCUCUGUAAAGCUCCUUCGACGAGUCGAGUAGUUUGGGAAUGCUGCUCUAAAUGGGAGGUAUAUGUCUUCUAAAGCUAAAUACCGGCCAGAGACCGAUAGCGCACAAGUAGAGUGAUCGAAAGAUGAAAAGCACUUUGAAAAGAGAGUUAAAAAGUACGUGAAAUUGUUGAAAGGGAAGCGUUUAUGACCAGACUUGGGCUUGGUUAAUCAUCUGGGGUUCUCUCCAGUGCACUUUUCCAGUCCAGGCCAGCAUCAGUUUUCGCCGGGGGAUAAAGGCUUCGGGAAUGUGGCUCUCUCCGGGGAGUGUUAUAGCCCGUUGCGUAAUACCCUGGCGGGGACUGAGGUUCGCGC